AGAGUUUGAUCCUGGCUCAGGAUGAACGCUAGCUACAGGCUUAACACAUGCAAGUCGAGGGGCAGCAUGGUCUUAGCUUGCUAAGGCUGAUGGCGACCGGCGCACGGGUGAGUAACACGUAUCCAACCUGCCGUCUACUCUUGGCCAGCCUUCUGAAAGGAAGAUUAAUCCAGGAUGGCAUCAUGAGUUCACAUGUCCGCAUGAUUAAAGGUAUUUUCCGGUAGACGAUGGGGAUGCGUUCCAUUAGAUAGUAGGCGGGGUAACGGCCCACCUAGUCAACGAUGGAUAGGGGUUCUGAGAGGAAGGUCCCCCACAUUGGAACUGAGACACGGUCCAAACUCCUACGGGAGGCAGCAGUGAGGAAUAUUGGUCAAUGGGCGAUGGCCUGAACCAGCCAAGUAGCGUGAAGGAUGACUGCCCUAUGGGUUGUAAACUUCUUUUAUAAAGGAAUAAAGUCGGGUAUGCAUACCCGUUUGCAUGUACUUUAUGAAUAAGGAUCGGCUAACUCCGUGCCAGCAGCCGCGGUAAUACGGAGGAUCCGAGCGUUAUCCGGAUUUAUUGGGUUUAAAGGGAGCGUAGAUGGAUGUUUAAGUCAGUUGUGAAAGUUUGCGGCUCAACCGUAAAAUUGCAGUUGAUACUGGAUGUCUUGAGUGCAGUUGAGGCAGGCGGAAUUCGUGGUGUAGCGGUGAAAUGCUUAGAUAUCACGAAGAACUCCGAUUGCGAAGGCAGCCUGCUAAGCUGCAACUGACAUUGAGGCUCGAAAGUGUGGGUAUCAAACAGGAUUAGAUACCCUGGUAGUCCACACGGUAAACGAUGAAUACUCGCUGUUUGCGAUAUAUGGCAAGC
rnacentral:rRNA from 1 species